GAUUCUGCUCUUUUGUCUUGGUUCCC
rnacentral:piRNA from 1 species